AGGCUGUGUUUUUUUUUGUGUGUUACUUUAUUGGCUGACCUGAAGCUAGAAUUCAAGAGAUGAGACUUAUGGCUUUAACUACGUGGUGAAUGAGAGUCAAGGAACACAAUCCUCUAUUUCACCCAUGGGCUCAGUUUACCAGGUUAUGGAGUCUUCAUCUUG